AGUCUAUUCAGAGGAACCUGUUCUAUAAUUGAUAGUCCACGAUUUUAUAUACUUAUCUUCAUAUUUACAUAUCGCCGUAGAUUGAGUAUUUUUAUAAAAUAAAUUAAUAUUCAAAAUUUUGGUAAAAAAGGAAUUCAGGUCAAGAUGUAGUUUAUAGGUAAGAAGAAAUGGGUUACAAUAAAUUUAUUUAUAUGAAUCAAAUUUUAUAUAAAAAUUUUUGAAAGCGGAUUUGAAGGUAAUUUUAAAAAAUUAUUUAAAAUGAUUUUAGCUCUAAAAUAUGCACAUAUCGCCCGUCGCUUUCAUUUUAAGAUGGAAUAAGUCGUAACAAAGUAGGUGUACUGGAAGGUGCCCCUGGAAAAU
rnacentral:rRNA from 1 species